rnacentral:rRNA from 1 species
UACGUAGGGUGCAAGCGUUGUCCGGAAUUAUUGGGCGUAAAGAGCUCGUAGGCGGUCUGUCACGUCGGCUGUGAAAACCCGGGGCUCAACCCCGGGCCUGCAGUCGAUACGGGCAGACUAGAGUGCGGUAGGGGAGACUGGAAUUCCUGGUGUAGCGGUGAAAUGCGUAGAUAUCAGAAGGAACAUCAGUGGCGAAGGCGGCUUUCUGGACCAAUACUGACGAUCAGGUGCGAAAGCGUGGGGAGCAAACAGG